UUAAAUUCGAAGAUUGAGAAAAGUAACUUGAAUGAAAAGUAGAUAGCGAGCGCGUGGUAGUGUAAGUCGCGCAUACAACAUCAUCAAGUGAAUGGCCUCAUGAGAAGCAAGGUGAAGAUAGUAGCCUCCGCCGUACGCCCACGUUAUCAGGCAAAAAUAUAAAAGUCUUAAAUGAUGGAGUAUUUUGUGAAGAAGAAAUUCUAAAUUUCUUGAAAUUGGGUGGCACCACGAAGCUAUUCGUCCCAGUA
rfam:Tenericutes bacterium GWD2_38_27 gwd2_scaffold_367, whole genome shotgun sequence.